UCCUCUUGUCUUUGUGCGCGGCGUUCGCUGUCCAUAAAGUUUUUGCUUUCCCAAGAUGGCGGCGCCCAUGAGCAGACACCCCCUCGUGGAUUUAAGAAACUGAGCUUGUACGCAGAAAACUCCCUGAAUUCUUUGGCUGACGUGGUUCUGCAAAGUCGCCGGGGCCUUGACCCGUUACCUCAAGCAAGGAGGCCUCUGCCUGUCCUUUCUAUGCCAGCAACCGCGGUGGUCGGGAAUCUGUCCUCGGUCAGGAAACGCGCGGAGAACAGCCGCCCGGAGACCAUCCCUGGGCAGCUGCCAGUCGCUCUGUAACUGGUCCCCUCGGUGACUUCCCUGGUCCCCUUGCUCCGUUCUGUUGGCCUUGCUAAUCGCCCCUUGCCUGACUAACUGCCUGACCGGGGCCAGGGCGUAACUCCUGGUGGCCGGGACACGUGCUCCCCUCUGGCCGCUGAUGAGUCUGGUGUAUGACUCCUUCAAAGAAAAAGCGGGGAGUGAAGUGGGCGUCGGAGUAUAAGAUGAGAAAACCAACCCUGAACCCUUUCUUUAACUAUAAAUUCCAGUACAGAUUGUGAAUUCACAUUAUUUCCGCGGCUGGUCCCGUAUUUUCUCUCGCUGGAACAUUUCAACCCCAACAGCAAAGAGGAUAGAAUCACAGAUGUAGAGGGCAGGAACUCGGAAAGGUGAGCUUAAAUCUAGGGCAGCGGGGUGCAGAUAGUUAAGCGCCUACUCCAGGUGAGAGAAUGGCUCUCUAAGUGCGUACUUAAUGUAAUGAUGUAAUCACCCUAGGGUUAUGUGAGGUAGUGACAUCCUCCUACUGGAGUACUUGAAGGGACUCUCAGCCCCAGAGGAAGACCCAAGAGGCCAGUCUCCCUCUUCCUUCCUCCCUCUUCCAUCUUCCCUCCUCCCUCCUCCUUCCUUCAUCCUCCAUCCAACAUCCUCCCUCCUCCCUCCUCCCUCCUCCCUCCUCCCUCCUCCAUCCUCCAUCCUCCAUCCUCCAUCCUCCAUCCUCCAUCCUCCUUCCCUGACCAGUGCGGGGCCCUCCUGCCUCCUUCACUCCUCCACCAACACCCAGGACUCGGGGCUGAUCCCAAAGGUCCUCCUGAGAGCUAGUCUGUGAGUUUCAUAUUUAUAGAGAAAACCUACAAGAAUGUUGCAAAACAUGUGGCCUCCUCUGACUGGGGAGAGAGUGGGGCUGAUGGGCCCCUUAAAUCCAAGUCGUGACACCUCCUGCUCAGCCCUUGGUCCUCCUGAGGGCACACAGCUAUGGAAGAAUAACUGAACCUCUUUGGGCCUCCAGAAAAGGAAGGCAUCUGAGCAUUCUGUGUCCAAGGGCUCUGAGGGUGUGACUCCAUCAGCUUACUGCUCAUCGACAGCUGGCAAAGCCUCUGUCCUGCUGCUGCCACGUGCUGGAUCCAUUUCCACACCCCCUUCCUGGUCUUCUCUCCUUUCUCCAGGACUCUUUAUCAGAAAUAUCUGUCAUUAAAACACUUUGUCAUGAAAGAAAUGUUUCAGUUUCCAGAAUUACAAUUUGUAACUGAUCCAGUACAAAUAAUUGGUCCCCUUGAUUGACUUCCCUAGUUACAUCCCUAAUAGGUACUGGAUUAGUUACAUUUUGAAUUGAUGCUUUAUUUUAUAAGGAGGGAUUCUCCAGUCCUUAAUAACAUUUAGGAAGUAUUCCAGCCUUCCCUACAGUCUACUUACAAAUCAUUCCAGAAGUGCCUAAUCUCAUCUGUUUGAUGCUGAUUCUUAUUAACUCUCCUUUCUGGAAACACACCCUUUAUGGCCUUGUCUCUUGGUUCCAGGGGGAUGCCCUAUUAAGAGUUUAGAAUUUUUUGUUAAGAAUACGGGCCUUAAAAUAAUCUCUUCAUCACAGUGAAAGUCUAGCGUCAGGUGUUGAGUGGGCUUCUGAAACCUUCACCAGUGGGUAUAAGAACAGUUUGGGAAUAUGCUGCUCUGGGCAAAAAUGCCCAGUGUUCAGAAGAGGAUUCUGAGGGACAGAGAGCCGACUGCUUUUAAUUCUUAGUGCAUGAAGUUUGUUAAAGAAAAAAAAAAUCUAACCAACAGAACCACCUGCAUCAAGGAUUUCCAUUUCAGGGUAGUAUUAUUCAUAAUUGCUAACCGUGUGAUAUCAGAGCCAGUGAGGCUUGUUGGGAUAUUAAGAUGCUCAUCAUUCAACUCAGUUGCAUUUUUAAAGUAUUGUUUCUACUUGAGGGCACAAAUCAGACAAUUCUUAAGUAGUGUUAGUGAAAGCUGCCUAAAAGGAAGAUAAUGGAUUUGUGUAAAAGCAGUAAUUCCUUGCCCCCUAGAAAUCUUCUGUUCUGUUACUGGUAAAGAUGUGAACAUUUGACUUGGCAGGAAGACCAUCAGAACAGUGAAUCCAGGGCAAAGCUUGAAUUGGGUGGGAUUUGGAUCUCAAGUGUAAUUCCUGUUUUUAAAAGUAUCUGAGUCUGAUUGGUGAUUUGUAUGUCUCCUCAGACUAUUUCUAGGUUAUCUUUUAGCUUUAUAAAGAAUCUCUGGAAUUCUAGUACUGAAAAUCAUGCUUAAUAGUAAAACCCAUUUUGCACUGAGAAUUUUGAUGGGCCAGCCUGAAAAUCUUCCUACAACUUCCCUGACCAUUCUGCUUUGUUUUCCCCUCUGGUUGUUGGCCCAGUGGAACAAGUCCAGUCCCCCUUUUUCAUAUCACAGACUUAAAUAUUUGAAGACAGCCAGAAUGGCUUUCUGGAGUCUUCUCCAGGCUCAGUGACUCAUGUUCCUUCUUCUGAUGCUCACAAGGCAAGGUCUUGAGAUCUUUGAUAAGGCUGAUAAACUUUGAUAAGUUCUGAUUGUUCUCCUGUGAACAUGAUCUCCACAAUCUGGACCUAAACCCAGACCUCAAAGUGCAGAGUGAAGAGACACCAUCUCCUUCCUCUUCCUGGAAGCUCUAUUCCUUCCCAGCUUGCCAUCCACUAAAUCCUCAUGGCUGCCAUCUUCCCAAGCUUUUCUCUGUCCUAUAUUCAUAAAGUUGCCCUUUUUGUACUCGAAUAUUAGAUUUUCCACUAAUUCCUCUGUUGGGGAUCCUGUCAGAAACAUGUCUAUGAUAGUGGGCAUGCUAGCGAUGGAACAAGAAGUUUUUAACUUGAGACAUUUCCAAAAUUCAUCCCCACUGAGGUUAGGAUUCACCAAGCCAAAUCUGUUAAAGUGAUUGGAAAAUACAGCCAGGCCCUUACUUGUAAAUCAUUUAUGUUUCCAGAGUUUAUAAAUUGACUGGAGCUCAAAAUAUGUUUUCCUUUGGAAAUGAUUAUGUCAGCUAAGAAAAACCAAUUUUAAAAACAAGCUUUAUUAUAAAUAUAAUAAGGUUAAUAUACUAAUAAAAAUAGGUUUUAGAAUAAAUGAGUUUUGUUCUUAGACAUUUCCAAAAGAUUCGUGAUGGAAAGUGAUAUCCACAUUCAGAGAAAAAACUAUAGAUUCUGAAUGCAAAUCGAAGCAGAUGAUUUUCACUUUUUUUGUUUUUUUCCUUCUUGUGGUUUUCCCCUUUUCUUCUGAUUCUUCUUUCACAGUAUGACUAUUUGGAAAUAUGUUUAAUGUGAUUGUACAUAUAUAACAUAUCAAUUUGAUUGGUGUCUUGGGGAGGGGAAAGGGAGGAAAAAUGAAAAUGAAAAUAGUUUAAAAGCAAAUGUUGAAAACAAAUUUUAAAAUAAAUAAAUAAAUGAGUUUUUACAACCAAUAACAUAGAUGAAUAUUAAUGCCCUAGUUCUAUUUACAUACAUACUAGUUCUGUGACCAGAGGCAACUCCCCAGGCAGCUAUAAGAAUGCCUACAGAUAAACCAGAGGAACUUCCUCCAGGAGUUCCUUAUGUCAAGAUGCUCAAAAUUAAGAUAGUCUAAGCAGUGACUCCCAAGCCCUAUCUCUUCUUGGGAUCCCCCUUGGCCCUUUUGACUUUGAAGCAUCUGAGUUUUGAGCCUCUGAAAAAGCCAAGUAAGGAGGAGAACUUGUGUUUUGGGCCUUUUGUUUCCCAGAGAGAGAGAGAGAGAGAGUUGGGGCCCUUGGGAAAGCGUCCCAAAUCUCUUAGCUACUUUUUUUAUUAAAGCUUUUUUAUUUUCAAAACAUGUAUGGAUAAGUUUUCAACACUGACCCUUGCAUAGCCUUGUGUUUCAGAUUUCCCCCUCCUUCCCCCACCCCCUCACCUAGAUUGGAUAACAAUCCAAUAUAUAUUAUACAUAAAUCCAGUAUAUGUAAACAUUUAUACACAAGAAAAAUCAGAUCAAAAAGGAAAAAAAAUGAGAAACAAAAUGCAAGUGAAUAACAUCAAAAAGAGUGAGAAAGCUAUGUUGUGAUCCACAUUCAGUAUAAUCUUGUUGAAAUGUACAAUGAUCUCCUGGUUCUGCUCAUUUCACUCAGCCUCAGUUCGUGUAAGUCUCUCCAGGCCUCUCUGUAUUCAUCCUGCUGGUCAUUUCUUACAGAACAAUAAUAUUCCAUAACAUUCAUAUACCACAAUUUACCCAGCCAUUCUCCAACUGAUGGGCAUCCAUUCAAUUUCCGGUUUCUUGCCACCACAAAAAGGGCUGCCACAAACACUUUUGCACAUGUGAGUCCUUUCUCUCCUUUAUUAUCUCUUUGGGAUAGAGCCGGCUCAGCUCUUUAUUUCUUUUGUGAAUGUGGCCAACAUGACUUCAUAAGGCUUCGGCUUUCUCCCCUCUGCCCAGAGAAAUCUGACUAAAGGACCUGAAACCCUGCUAGAGGAGAAGGCGGUGGUAUCCAAACACUGUUAUUCAUGAAUUUGAGCUACAGUCAGGAAGAAUCCCUUGGAAUGCUGGGAAGUGGAUCAGAACCAGUUGGAAAGCAGAGAGGUUUCUGUUUGAGAUAGGAGAGAGCUUCUGGAGUUAGUUGAACAGGGAGUGAUUUGUUCAGGUUCAUGUGAUCACUGACUUUAUAGCUCAAUCCCAGAGUUUCUUGAAAUAUAUGGACAUUAAAUGGCUUGUCCCAGGUCUCACAAAGCUUAGCACAGUAUCUGGCACAUUGAAGACCCUUAAUCAAUGUUUAUUGAUUGACUGAUUGACUGACUAGGGCUUAAUUGAUAGUGAGUGUCCCUGCUCAUACAUAGUAAAUGCUGUUGGAAUGCUCUUUUCCGCUUGUGCCAUCAUUCAUUCAUUCAUUCAUUCGUGCAUCAGAGUUAGAACCUUAAGAGAUCUCCCUGAUAAGACCAGCCCUCUCUCCACUACAAUGUGCUCUCUCUUGCCUUGUAUAUAUUCACUGCUGUACGUGUGGAUUUUUGUUGUUGGAUGAAGAAAUUUAAUAAACCACAUUCUUCUUAGAGAUGAAACAUCCUAUCAUUGAAUUUUGAGUACUUUCUGAGCAUCUGUAUUUUAAAAAUUAAAAUGCAUCAUAAUUAGUUUUGUUAGGGAAUAUGAGGAAUUGUCUCAUAGGGGUGAGGUUUGUCAAGUCAUCGAGUAUUUAUUAAGCUCCUUACAGAAACAGUUUAAUGCUCCUUUGGAAGAGGAAAGCUGAUGUUUACAUUCAUCAAAAGAUUUACCUGUUCUCUGUGAAUUCUCAUUUGUUGUUUGUUUUGAAUGGAUCCCAUCAUCUGUGCUAAGAUCCAUAAUAUCUUAUUGACUCUUUGGCUUGUAUAAUUAAAUGACUGUUACAUUGAGCAUUGUGUGACCCUUAGGUUCUUUAUGUAUCAACUCUGGCUUCACAAGAAUUUUCAGAGGUUAAUUUAUUAAGUGGAUAAUCAUUUUUUUAGUAGUGUCAUGAUUAAAAUUUUUUAGUUAUGACCUGUCAAAAUCAUAUUUUAAAAUCUUAAUCACUUCUUAAUGGGUUGACUGUGAAUAAAUUCCUGAAUAAAAAAUAAGUUUAUAAAAUA